UACGUAGGAAGCAAGCGUUGUUCGGAAUUACUGGGCGUAAAGAGUGUGUAGGCGGUGCUCCAAGUCUGGUGUGAAAUCUCCCGGCUUAACUGGGAGGGUGCAUUAGAAACUGGAAUGCUAGAGGAUGGGAGAGGUAAGCGGAAUUCCUGGUGUAGCGGUGAAAUGCGUAGAUAUCAGGAGGAACACCUGUGGUGUAGACAGCUUACUGGACCAUUUCUGACGCUGAGACACGAAAGCGUGGGUAGCAAACAGG
rnacentral:rRNA from 1 species